ACUAUCGUGUCGUGCCUUGGGUUUGGUUGGCCGGCCAAUUUUACUAGUAUUUUUUGGAUUGACGAGGAUUUUAUCAUUGUUUAUCAUCAAUAUCGUGACGAUGCAGUGUAAACAAAUCAAACGAUUUGCUUGGCAGCAACUAGGAAGGAAAUAUAGCAAAGAGGUUCAAUCGCUAAUCUUGAAUCACAAGCAAUGCUCAGGUUCCAAAAGAUUUUCAUCCUCUAAUACUGGUCCUUCUUCCAGCGGUGUAGCGGGGUACUGGCGAUCUCUUAAGUGGGUACCUAUUCCUUUCAGUGUUGGUUUUGCAUACAUAUGUUACCAACAAUAUGGUCACAUCAAGAAGAGAGAGAACAGACACAUAAGAGGAUCCCAAUCCAUAGAAGACUCAUUGGCUAAAGAGUGGCAGGUUAGUAUCACAAAAUAAAUAACAAU